rnacentral:miRNA from 1 species
UGGAAUGUAUUCUUCAUUAGUUU